rnacentral:rRNA from 1 species
AGUGAACGCUGGCGGUAGGCCUAACACGUGCAAGUCGAACGGCAGCACAGUAAGAGUUCGCCCUUACGGGUGGCGAGUGGCGGACGGGUGAGGAAUACAUCGGAAUCUACUUUUUCGUGGGGGAUAACGUAGGGAAACUUCUGCUAAUACCGCAUAUGACCUACGGGUGAAAGCAGUGGUUCUUCGCACCUUUCGCGACUGAAUGAGCCGAUGUCGGAUUAGCUAGUUGGCGGGGUAAAGGCCCACCAAGGCGACGCUCCGUAGCUGGUCUGAGAGGAUGAUCAGCCACACUGGAACUGGGACACGGUCCAGAAUCCUACGGGAGGCAGCAGUGGGGAAUAUUGGACAAUGGGCGCAAGCCUGAUCCAGCCAUACCGCGUGGGUGAAGAAGGCCUUCGGGUUGUAAAGCCCUUUUGUUGGGAAAGAAAAGCAGCAGGUUAAUACCCCGCUGUUCUGACGGUACCCAAAGAAUAAGCACCGGCUAACUUCGUG